GACGAACCGUCCAAACGUUAUUCGGUAUCACUGGGCUUAAAGCGUGCGUAGGCGGCUUGGUAGGUGAGAUGUGAAAGCCCACGGCCCAACCGUGGAAUUGCGUUUCAAACCAUCAAGCUCGAGGAAGAUAGGGGUGAUGGGAACUUAUGGUGGAGCGGUGAAAUGCGUUGAUAUCAUAGGGAACACCGGUGGCGAAAGCGCAUCACUGGAUCUUUUCUGACGCUGAGGCACGAAAGCUAGGGUAGCGAACGGG
rnacentral:rRNA from 1 species